AGUUUGAAUCUGGCUCAAGAACAACGCCUGGCCGCCUGCUUAACACAUGCCAGUUCAACGGUGAAGGGAACAGCCUGCCGGUUUCGGAAGAGUGGCCAACGGGUGAGUAACACCUGAGUAACCUGCCCCCCUUUUUCGGAUAACCGCAUGAAAGUGUGGCUAAUACGGGAUAUUCUGGGUCCGUUCCAUGACGGGCCCGGGAAAAAUAUUUGCUUUGGUGGGGGAAGGGCUCGCGGCCUAUCAGCUUUGUUGGUGGGGUGAUGGCCUACCAAGGCGGUGACGGGUAGCCGGCCUGAGAGGGUGGACGGUCACACUGGGACUGAGACACGGCCCAGACUCCUACGGGAGGCAGCAGUGGGGAAUAUUGCACAAUGGGCGCAAGCCUGAUGCAGCGACGCCGCGUGAGGGAUGGAGGCCUUCGGGUUUGUAAACCUCUUUCGCCAGUGAAGCAGGCCUGCUCCUUGUGGGUGGGUUGACGGUAGCUGGAUAAGAAGCGCCGGCUAACUACGUGCCAGCAGCCGCGGUAAUACGUAGGGCGCGAGCGUUGUCCGGAAUUAUUGGGCGUAAAGAGCUCGUAGGCGGCUGGUCGCGUCUGUCGUGAAAUCCUCUGGCUUAACUGGGGGCUUGCGGUGGGUACGGGCCGGCUUGAGUGCGGUAGGGGAGACUGGAACUCCUGGUGUAGCGGUGGAAUGCGCAGAUAUCAGGAAGAACACCGGUGGCGAAGGCGGGUCUCUGGGCCGUUACUGACGCUGAGGAGCGAAAGCGUGGGGAGCGAACAGGAUUAGAUACCCUGGUAGUCCACGCCGUAAACGUUGGGCACUAGGUGUGGGGGGCCUUUUCCGGGUCUUCCGCGCCGUAGCUAACGCAUUAAGUGCCCCGCCUGGGGAGUACGGCCGCAAGGCUAAAAACUCAAAGGAAUUGACGGGGGCCCGCACAAGCGGCGGAGCAUGCGGAUUAAUUCGAUGCACGCGAAGAACCUUACCAAGGCUUGACAUGUGCCGGUCGGCUCCGGAGACGGGGCUUUCCUCCUUGUGGGGCCGGUUCACAGGUGGUGCAUGGUUGUCGUCAGCUCGUGUCGUGAGAUGUUGGGUUAAGUCCCGCAACGAGCGCAACCCUUGUCCCGUGUUGCCAGCACGUUGUGGUGGGGACUCGCGGGAGACUGCCGGGGUCGAACUCGGAGGAAGGUGGGGAUGACGUCGAAAUCAUCAUGCCCCUUAUGUUCUUGGGCUUCACGCAUGCUACGAAUGGCCGGUACAGAGGGCUGCGAUACCGUGAGGUGGAGCGAAAUCCCUUAAAGCCGGUCUCGGUUUCGAGUCGGUGUUCUGCAACUCGACGCCGUGAAAGUUGGAAGUCGCGAGUGAAUCGCGGACUCGGGCGAACGCUGCGGUAAUGCGUUUCUCGGCCCUUCGCGCCCUCGCCCGU
rnacentral:rRNA from 1 species